rnacentral:tRNA from 2 species
GCGGUUGUGGCGGAAUUGGCAGACGCGCUAUCUUCAGGCGGUAGUGGAUUUAUCCGUGAGAGUUCAAGUCUCUCCAACCGCACCA